AAGUCGUAACAAGGUUUCCGUAGGUGAACCUGCGGAAGGAUCAUUAAUGAAUGAUAAUUUUUUGGGGUUUUCCCUGAAAAAUAAUUCACCAUUUGUGCAUUGUUAUAAGAUAUACUUUGGUUAGAGCUUUGAUUUCAUUUAUUGGAAUCAACUUCUUGCUGACUCUAUCCUAUUGAAUGGGACAGUUGGCUAUGAAGCGGCCUACCAAGGUUUUUUAUCAAACACAUUUAAUCCAACUGACCUAAAAACAAACAAUUAAAUCAUAACUUUCAACAACGGAUCUCUUGGCUCUC
rnacentral:misc_RNA from 1 species